AACGGACGCUGGCGGCAGGCUUAACACAUGCAAGUCGAACGCUGUAGCAAUACAGAGUGGCGCACGGGUGAGUAACGCGUGUGAACGUGCCCUUUAGUACGGGAUAACAUCGGGAAACUGAUGCUAAUACCGUAUAUUCCCUGAGGGGGAAAGAUUUAUCGCUAAAGGAUCGGCCCGCGUUAGAUUAGGUAGUUGGUGGGGUAAUGGCCUACCAAGCCUACGAUCUAUAGCCGGUCUGAGAGGACGAUCGGCCACACUGGAACUGAGACACGGUCCAGCCUCCUACGGGAGGCAGCAGUGGGGAAUAUUGGUCAAUGGGGGAAACCCUGAACCAGCCAUGCCGCGUGAGUGAUGAAGGCCUUAGGGUUGUAAAGCUCUUUCACCAGUGAAGAUAAUGACGGUAACCGGAGAAGAAGCCCCGGCUAACUUCGUGCCAGCCGCCGCAGUAA
rnacentral:rRNA from 1 species